CUUCUUUUAUUUUAUGAUCUUCAUCUCAUCAUAUCUUCUGUUGUCCCCUGAAAUAUCUCUGCUUAGUUAUAAACUCCAAGACCACGGGAAACCUGACCUCCACAGGGACUUGACCUCCACAGGGACCGCUGAGGAGGACCUAAUCCACAUCAGGACUCGCCACUCUGCAGCCCAUGUUAGCACAUCCUAUUUGAUAUAUAUCUAUUUUAAACUUAUCUACAUUAAAUAUACUUACUUAAAAUUAUCUACAUUAAAUACAUCUACUUUAAAUAUAUCUACUAUACAUAUAUCUACUUUAAACACAUC